AAGGCUAAAUACUCCUGACUGACCGAUAGUGAACCAGUACCGUGAGGGAAAGGCGAAAAGAACCCCGGCGAGGGGAGUGAAACAGAACCUGAAACCGUGUACGUACAAGCAGUGGGAGCCCCACCACUAAGCCAGUGGUGAACUCCACAUACGCAUCCUUUGCUGAGGAUACGGUUAACGGAGCGCAAGCGACGUUCAACCGCAAAAGAAGCAGAGGGGGCUUAGUGGUGGGGUGACUGCGUACCUUUUGUAUAAUGGGUCAGCGACUUAUAUUCUGUAGCAAGGUUAACCGAAUAGGGGAGCCGGAGGGAAACCGAGUCUUAACCGGGCGUUAAGUUGCAGGGUAUAGACCCGAAACC
rnacentral:rRNA from 1 species